rnacentral:rRNA from 1 species
AUUGAACGCUGGCGGCAGGCCUAACACAUGCAAGUCGAACGGUAACAGGAAGAAGCUUGCUUCUUUGCUGACGAGUGGCGGACGGGUGAGUAAUGUCUGGGAAACUGCCUGAUGGAGGGGGAUAACUACUGGAAACGGUAGCUAAUACCGCAUAACGUCGCAAGACCAAAGAGGGGGACCUUCGGGCCUCUUGCCAUCGGAUGUGCCCAGAUGGGAUUAGCUAGUAGGUGGGGUAACGGCUCACCUAGGCGACGAUCCCUAGCUGGUCUGAGAGGAUGACCGGCGAAGCUGGGACUGAGAGACGGACCAGACGCCUACGGGAGGCAGUAGUGGGGAAUAUUGCACAAUGGGCGAAAGCCUGAUGCAGCGACGCAGCGUGAGGGAUGACGGCCUGCGGGUUGUAAACCUCUAUCAGUAGGGAAGAAGCGAAAGUGACGGUACCUGCAGAAGAAGCACCGGCUAACUACGUG